GUAGGGCGCGAGCGUUGUCCGGAUUUAUUGGGCGUAAAGAGCUCGUAGGCGGCUUGUCGCGUCGACUGUGAAAACCCGGGGCUUAACCUCGGGCCUGCAGUCGAUACGGGCAGGCUGGAGUUCGGUAGGGGAGACUGGAAUUCCUGGUGUAGCGGUGAAAUGCGCAGAUAUCAGGAGGAACACCGGUGGCGAAGGCGGGUCUCUGGGCCGAUACUGACGCUGAGGAGCGAAAGCGUGGGGAGCGAACAGGAUUAGAUACCCUGGUAGUCCACGCUGUAAACGUUGGGCGCUAGGUGUGGGGGGCCUCUCCGGUUUCCUGUGCCGUAGCUAACGCAUUAAGCGCCCCGCCUGGGGAGUACGGCCGCAAGGCUAAA
rnacentral:rRNA from 1 species